GGAGGCUGAGAAGUUCAAGAUCAAUGUGCUGCAGAGUCCGGUGAGGCAGCUCUUGGCUUGAAAGAUGGCACCUUGCUGGCACCUCCUCCAGAGGGAACGAAUGCUACAUCUUCACAUGGCGGAAGGGCAACCCUGCGUGAAGUGGCAGUUCUGUGCCAGUCUGCAGCCCUGGAUGGCUUUGCGUUGCUUAAGGAUAAACAGGUUGGAGUUGCAUAUGGUCAACAUUUUUUGUGGAUCGAACUUGGGUCCUUCCACUUGCGAGGCAGGUGGCAGAACCACCGAGCUAUGGCCAAACUGGUCUUCAAGCCAAGAUAUGAAUUUGCACCCAACCAACUGGACCCCGACCUUCAAAUUUAUUCCUAUGCCAGAAACCCUAGUGCCCUGCUGUUUCCUGAGGAAGUGCAGCCCUGUCAGAGGUCUUGACAUUCCGAGGAGCAUGGUUUCCUGGAGCUGCUUGCUACCGGGGUGAACUGGUCUGGCUGGGAUAUUUCUGGAGGGCCCUUGUUUCUUUUGCGGGGAGCCCCAGUGGUGCUUGGGCAGCUGAGGGAGCCUGGCUGUCCAUCAAAUGUUUCCUGCUUUCCAGCCAGUACUCAGGUUCCCCAUGAGGUCUCCUCCACUGCCUGUGGCUGUGCAUGCCAACAGCUCCCAGUCCCUGGGACACUUGGCCUCCUGCCAGUCCCACCCAAGAUUGCUCCAUCAAUUUUCUGGGAGUGGGCUCAGCAGAUUUAUAGGCAUAAAAUUUGUUUUUGCUUAAUAACAUGUUCGUAGUGAAGCAUUUUUGUGCUUGUGUGCUCUGACAAAGCAAAGUGUUGCAGCAAAAAGGAGGCAAAUUUCUUUGAAAUUAGGAUAUUCAAAGUAACUACUCAACUUGGGCCUUUUGAUAUUGCCUUAAGAAAUCUGUUUUGCCCAUAAAAUCAUGUCUUCGCUUUUGGCACCAUUCUGUUGCCAUUUAUUCCAAUUUUCAAAUAGCAACUGCUUCCACUUUCCUUUCUGUAAUUCAAAAUAGGAAUCUUUAAGGCCCUGGAAAAUCGUUUUUAUAAUAUCCUAAAGUGAAAAUACUCGCAAAUGUGUACUUUUUAGAGCAAGCGUAAAUUUUAAAUUCAGGACUAAAGUAACCUUUUAUGUGUGAUCUUGUCUGUAUUGUAAAUCACAGAGGGGUUUUUUCUCUGUUCUUUGAGAAGGUUGAGACUGCUCUGUAUUUCAGAAGGUUGGAACUGCUGGUGGGGGCUGCGAUGGGCCCAGGCGAAAGCUGUUCUAUGUGCUCCAUGGGCUUUGAGCUUUGGCUCCUCAAAGGCCUCGAAGCCCAAGCGCACAGACUCAGUCCCACAGUACCUGGGCUGGGUUCUUCUCCCAUCUUAUUUGGGCUCUCAGAUCUCUGCAAAGUUCUCUCCCCUGCUCAGUAUUCCUGGGUGUUCCUCCGGUGCCCAUUCCCGGGUAGCUGCCAGCUGGUGUCUGCUGGGCACCUGCACCCCAGAUGCCCGGUGCACUAGUCCCUGCUGCUCAGGCCAGCCUCUGGCUUCUGGCCUCUGAGUGAUCCAGGUGACAGGUGGGAAAACGCCCACCUCCGUGGUCUCUGGACCCCAAGCCCUCUGUGCCCUGGGGUUUUCCAAGGACAGCCUUUCUGGUUUCCCUCCUGGGU